GCGGGCAACGAUGUCGAUUUGGAGGUUGUGCCCUUGAGGCGUGGCUUCCGAAGCUAACGCGUUAAAUCGACCGCCUGGGGAGUACGGCCGCAAGGUUAAAACUCAAAUGAAUUGACGGGGGCCCGCACAAGCGGUGGAGCAUGUGGUUUAAUUCGAUGCAACGCGAAGAACCUUACCUACUCUUGACAUCCAGCGAAUCCUGUAGAGAUACGGGAGUGCCUUCGGGAACGCUGAGACAGGUGCUGCAUGGCUGUCGUCAGCUCGUGUUGUGAAAUGUUGGGUUAAGUCCCGCAACGAGCGCAACCCUUAUCCUUUGUUGCCAGCGGUUCGGCCGGGAACUCAAAGGAGACUGCCAGUGAUAAACUGGAGGAAGGUGGGGAUGACGUCAAGUCAUCAUGGCCCUUACGAGUAGGGCUACACACGUGCUACAAUGGCGUAUACAAAGAGAAGCGAACUCGCGAGAGCAAGCGGACCUCAUAAAGUACGUCGUAGUCCGGAUUGGAGUCUGCAACUCGACUCCAUGAAGUCGGAAUCGCUAGUAAUCGUGGAUCAGAAUGCCACGGUGAAUACGUUCCCGGGCCUUGUACACACCGCCCGUCACACCAUGGGAGUGGGUUGCAAAAGAAGUAGGUAGCUUAAC
rnacentral:rRNA from 1 species